GUGCUCAUUUUGGCAGCACAUAUACUAAAAUUGGAACAAUACAGAGAAGAUUGGCAUGGACCUUGCAAGAGGAUGACAUGCAAAUUUGUGAAGUGUUCCAUAAUUUU